rnacentral:rRNA from 1 species
UGGGGAAUAUUGGACAAUGGGCGGAAGCCUGAUCCAGCAACGCCGCGUGAGGGAUGACGGCCUUCGGGUUGUAAACCUCUUUCAGCACAGACGAAGCGCAAGUGACGGUAUGUGCAGAAGAAGGACCGGCCAACUACGUGCCAGCAGCCGCGGUAAUACGUAGGGUCCGAGCGUUGUCCGGAAUUAUUGGGCGUAAAGGGCUCGUAGGCGGUUUGUCGCGUCGGGAGUGAAAACACCGGGCUUAACUCGGUGCUUGCUUUCGAUACGGGCAGACUAGAGGCAUUCAGGGGAGAACGGAAUUCCUGGUGUAGCGGUGAAAUGCGCAGAUAUCAGGAGGAACACCGGUGGCGAAGGCGGUUCUCUGGGAAUGUCCUGACGCUGAGGAGCGAAAGUGUGGGGAGCGAACAGGAUUAGAUACCCUGGUAGUCCACACCGUAAAACGUUGGGCGCUAGGUGUGGGGAUCCAAUUCCANGGGUUCCGUGCCGCAGCUAACGCAUUAAGCGCCCCGCCUGGGGAGUACGGCCGCAAGGCUAAAACUCAAAGGAAUUGACGGGGUCAU